GUUGCCAUUCACCAUUAAUCGGUGACAUGUGACAAUAAAAAGAAGAUUGCGUUACAGAUUUUGUUGAAAGCUAAUACAAUGUGUCAUGUGUGCAUAUAUAACGUGUCCAUCUACGGUUAUGAACGAAGAAUCCAAAUAGAAGAAAGAAACGAGACUUGUUGGUAAAAAAUAAAUUUAAGGACAAAGAUCCAUUCUUAAAAGAAGGGCCACCCCUCAAAAUAGCAAAACGUUGAAAGCUUUAUCACCAUUAGUUACUUAUAUAAUAAUGUGAUGUACGUUGGUCUUGGUGCAUAGCUUUAAAUUAAAAAUGAGCUCGAACUUUGAUGGACAAAUAAAGACUAGAGAAGGUCACCGCUUGAGUAAUUACU